AUCCACCUGACGAGCCUUAAAUAGGACGAAACGUGCGUCAUGGAU
rnacentral:hammerhead_ribozyme from 1 species